GACAGAGGGUGCAAACGUUGUUCGGAUUUACUGGGCGUAAAGCGUGUGUAGGCGGCUUUGCAUGUCGGAUGUGAAAGCCCACGGCUCAACCGUGGAAGUGCAUCCGAAACUGCAUCGCUGGAGUCCCGGAGAGGAAGGUGGAAUGCUUGGUGUAGAGGUGAAAUUCGUAGAUAUCAAGCAGAACACCUGCGGCGAAGGCGGCCUUCUGGACGGUGACUGACGCUGAGACACGAAAGCGUGGGGGAGCAAACAGG
rnacentral:rRNA from 1 species